GUCCUACGGGGGGCAGCAGUGGGGAAUAUUGGGCAAUGGGCGCAAGCCUGACCCAGCAACGCCGCGUGAAGGAAGAAGGCUUUCGGGUUGUAAACUUCUUUUCUUGGGGACGAAGAAAGUGACGGUACCCAAGGAAUAAGCCACGGCUAACUACGUGCCAGCAGCCGCGGUAAUACGUAGGUGGCAAGCGUUAUCCGGAUUUAUUGGGUGUAAAGGGCGUGUAGGCGGGAAUGCAAGUCAGAUGAGAAAUUCCAGGGCUCAACCCUGGAACUGCAUUUGAAACUGUUUUUCUUGAGUGAUGGAGG
rnacentral:rRNA from 1 species